rnacentral:rRNA from 1 species
AUGAACGCUGGCGGCGUGCCUAAUACAUGCAAGUCGAGCGAACAGACGAGGAGCUUGCUCCUCUGACGUUAGCGGCGGACGGGUGAGUAACACGUGGAUAACCUACCUAUAAGACUGGGAUAACUUCGGGAAACCGGAGCUAAUACCGGAUAAUAUAUUGAACCGCAUGGUUCAAUAGUGAAAGACGGUUUUGCUGUCACUUAUAGAUGGAUCCGCGCCGCAUUAGCUAGUUGGUAAGGUAACGGCUUACCAAGGCAACGAUGCGUAGCCGACCUGAGAGGGUGAACGGCCACAAUGGAAGUGAGACACGGUCCAGACUCCUACGGGAGGCAGCAGUAGGGAAUCUUCCGGAAUGGGCGAAAGCUUGACGGAGCAACGCCGCGUGAGUGAUGAAGGUCUUCGGAUCGUAAAACUCUGUUAUUAGGGAAGAACAAAUGUGUAAGUAACUAUGCACGUCUUGACGGUACCUAAUCAGAAAGCCACGGCUAACUACGUG